GAACGAAGCCUUCGGGCUUAGUGGCGCACGGGUGCGUAACGCGUGGGAAUCUGCCCUUGGGUUCGGAAUAACAGUUAGAAAUGACUGCUAAUACCGGAUGGUGACGUAAGUCCAAAGAUUUAUCGCCCAGGGAUGAGCCCGCGUAGGAUUAGCUAGUUGGUGAGGUAAAAGCUCACCAAGGCGACGAUCCUUAGCUGGUCUGAGAGGAUGAUCAGCCACACUGGGACUGAGACACGGCCCAGACUCCUACGGGAGGCAGCAGUGGGGAAUAUUGGACAAUGGGCGAAAGCCUGAUCCAGCAAUGCCGCGUGAGUGAUGAAGGCCUUAGGGUUGUAAAGCUCUUUUACCCGGGAUGAUAAUGACAGUACCGGGAGAAUAAGCUCCGGCUAACUCCGUG
rnacentral:rRNA from 1 species